AUCCAGUUGGCGAGUCUCAAAUGGGACGAAACGUACGUCCUGCAU
rfam:Schistosoma mansoni strain Puerto Rico chromosome W, complete genome